rnacentral:rRNA from 1 species
AUUGAACGCUGGCGGCAGGCCUAACACAUGCAAGUCGAGCGGAGCGGCGGACGGGUGAGUAAUGCCUAGGAAUCUGCCUGGUAGUGGGGGAUAACGUCCGGAAACGGGCGCUAAUACCGCAUACUAUCAGAUGAGCCUAGGGCGGAUUAGCUAGUUGGGGGGGUGAAGGCCUACAAAGGCGACGAUCCGUAACUGGUCUGAGAGGAUGAUCAGUCACACUGGAACUGAGACACGGUCCAGACUCCUACGGGAGGCAGCAGGGGGGAAUAUUGGACAAUGGGCGAAAGCCUGAUCCAGGCAUGCCGCGUGUGUGAAGAAGGCCGUCGGGUUGUAAAGCACUUUCAGCGGGGAGGCGUUACCCGCAGAAGAAGCACCGGCUAACUCCGUGCCAGCAGCCGCGGUAAUAC